CCCAGUAAGCUGCAGGUUCCUGACCUGCUUGAGUUCUUACUGUAGGGAGAGGUCUACAUACCCGUAGCGCUGACUACACCCGUUUGGGUGUGUUCAUAGGUACAUAGGACAUAUUUGGGUUCCAGUUUCGGCCUGGAGAGCAGCGUGCGGACCUUUGGUUCUCCACUUUCUUGGCUUCUCAUGUGCCUUGGGCACGGUGUUCCAUCACAGCUAAGUUUCUACCCUGGCUAAGACAGAAGAGAAAAGGCGUCACCAAGGGUCAUUCAACUCAAAAGCUAAGGCUGCUGGGGUCGCGGCUAAAGAGCCAGGAUGUUGACUGCAUGGAAGCCCUGUGGAAGAGCCAUGUUCUCCUACUGCAAGUCACAUGACCGGUGAGAGGCAAAUCUGAGUCAGCGUCAUUAGCGCCUAACAAGAAAUUAUAACCCACUUAAAUUUCAUUUUCCAGUACUCCCAUAAGGACCUAAAACUAAGUAAAAUUUCUCUGCCACAGUUCUUACAAAACACGUGCUUGCUUUUUCUAGUUCUCUAGAAGUUUUUUUUUUUAAGUUUUAUUUUCUGGGGUUUUGUUGCGUGUCUACAUUCCCAUGGUCAUCAAAAUCACCAUGAGCAAAACUGUGCCCUAGAAGACUAAAAGACAAGACGAGCCAGAACCUGGAAGGCAGAUGCCCUUUAAGAGAAACCAGAGUCUCCUGGGGCAAACGAGCCUCAAGAGAAUUAGAUGGUAGUAUAUGGCUUUAUGCGGUAAAGUUAACAUAUGGCAAUGAAUAACGAAGAAUUUGCAAGGUAGGAAAGCCACUACGAGUUACAAGGUUUAAGUGUGAACCUUGCAGAUAGUGGCAUUCAAUAACUGUUGGCUUAAUAUUGCAGGGCAUAACAUUCCUAUCAUUUUACAACUUAGAAGGUGGUUUGACUUAGAGAAUGUGGGACUAGAGCCACGCAAAACUGCUGACGCUCGCAGUUCUAUA